rnacentral:rRNA from 1 species
GAUGAACGCUGGCGGCGUGCCUAAUACAUGCAAGUCGAGCGAACAGACGAGGAGCUUGCUCCUCUGACGUUAGCGGCUGACGGGUGAGUAACACGUGGAUAACCUACCUAUAAGACUGGGAUAACUUCGGGAAACCGGAUCUAAUACCGGAUAAUAUAUUGAACCGCAUGGUUCAAUAGUGAAAGACGGUUUUGCUGUCACUUAUAGAUGGAUCCGCGCCGCAUUAGCUAGUUGGUAAGGUAACGGCUUACCAAGGCGACGAUGCGUAGCCGACCUGAGAGGGUGAUCGGCCACACUGGAACUGAGACACGGUCCAGACUCCUACGGGAGGCAGCAGUAGGGAAUCUUCCGCAAUGGGCGAAAGCCUGACGGAGCAACGCCGCGUGAGUGAUGAAGGUCUUCGGAUCGUAAAACUCUGUUAUUAGGGAAGAACAAAUGUGUAAGUAACUAUGGACGUCUUGACGGUACCUAAUCAGAAAGCCACGGCUAACUACGUG